UACAGAGGGGGCAAGCGUUAUUCGGAAUUAUUGGGCGUAAAGGGCGCGUAGGCGGCUACACAAGUGGCGGGUGAAAUCCCUCGGCUUAACCGAGGAACUGCCUGCCAGACUGUGUGGCUUGAGACCGGGAGAGGUGAGUGGAAUUCCCCAGUGUAGCGGUGAAAUGCGUUAGAUAUUGGGGAGGAACACCAGUGGCGAAGGCGGCUCACUGGACCGGAACUGACGCUGAGGCGCGAAAAGCGUGGGGAGCAAACAGG
rnacentral:rRNA from 1 species